rnacentral:rRNA from 1 species
GACGAACGCUGGCGGCGUGCUUAACACAUGCAAGUCGAACGGAAAGGCCCUGCUCUUGCUGGGUGCUCGAGUGGCGAACGGGUGAGUAACACGUGAGUAACCUGCCCUUGACUUUGGGAUAACGUCAGGAAACUGGUGCUAAUACCGGAGAGGAGCUCGUGCUGCAUGGGGGGGGUUGGACAGUUGCGGUUGUUGGGGAUGGACUCGCGGCUUAUCAGCUUGUUGGGGGGGUAGUGGCUUACCAACGCUUCGACGGGUAGCCGGCCUGGGAGGGUGGCCGCGCCCCAUGGGCCUGAGGUAGGGACCAGUGUGCUACGGGGGGCAAUGGUGGGAAAUAUUGUCCAGCGGGGCGGCGUGCGAUGAGAAGGCCCCCGGGGCGGAAAGCGCGCCUUUGGGGGGUGAAACGCUUUGGGCUGUGACCAAGGGGGGAUGACGGUAAUGGAUAAAGAAGCACCGGCUAACUACGUG